AUGUUCUUGGAUCUGACUUCUCCUUCUUCCUCUCGUGGGCAGCGUACUGGCAUGUUCUUGGGAGGCGGCUCCAUUGAUGCAGGCAAGGAGCAUGGGGAGACGACAGCACUGCUACUUGUGGUGGAGGUCCGACGACGAGGUCCGAGGAGGCAGCUUCUGGCGGGGAUCACGGGCCUGGCGAAGGAGCCCCGGCGAGGGAGGGAGGCUGCUGGCGGGGAUCACGGGCCCGGCGAAGGAGCCCCGGCGAGGGAGGCUGCUGGCGGGGAUCACGGCCCCGGCAAAGGAGCCCCGCGCGAGGGAGGGAGGCUGGAGGCGGGGAUCACAGCCCCGCCAAAGGAGCCCUGGCGAAGGAAGGAGCAGGAGGCGGGGAUCACGGUCCCGUCGUUGGAUCCGUCACCGAGGAAGGGGAUGGCGGCGGUGGAUCCAUCGCCGGCCAGUCACGGCGCCGCGGGCUCCCUGGCUCCGGCUACCACCGUCGCUCGCUCGCCCACGAUGGCUGCCUUCGAUGGAAGAAGGUGGGCCUCCCCCGCCCACUCCGGCGUGCCGCCGCCCCCGCCUCUCCGGUGCGCUGCCACCCCCGCCUCUCCGGUAGCCAUCACCAUUCCUCCUGCCGGACCCCGGCGGUCGAGGGGUGCGCACCACCCCCGAUGGAGCUCUGUCGCGACCCUCACAGCGACUCGUCGCCUCUCGCAUCCGCUUCAGGUGCCGUUCCCCUACAUGCCCCCCGGGACGGCGAAGCAGGUGCAGAAGUGCGUGGAGGCACUGGACGUGCUCAAGGUGUCGAACCCGCGGCUGCAGACGGUAGUGGUGACCACCAAAUGGGAGACGUUCGACAACAGCCCCCCGGUCACCACCAAGUGGGAGAUCUUCGACUGA
rnacentral:rRNA from 1 species